rnacentral:rRNA from 1 species
GGUUAAGUUAGAAAGGGCGCACGGUGGAUGCCUUGGCACUAGGAGCCGAAGAAGGACGGGACUAACACCGAUAUGCUUUGGGGAGCUGUACGUAAGCGUUGAUCCAGAGAUUUCCGAAUGGGGGAACCCACUAUCUUUAGUCGGAUAGUAUCCUUACGUGAAUACAUAGCGUGAGGAAGGCAGACCCAGGGAACUGAAACAUCUAAGUACCUGGAGGAAGAGAAAGAAAAAUCGAUUUCCUGAGUAGCGGCGAGCGAAACGGAAAGAGCCCAAACCAAGAAGCUUGCUUCUUGGGGUUGUAGGACACUCUAUACGGAGUUACAAAAGAAAGUUAUAAAUGAAGCGGUCUGGAAAGGCCCGCCAAAGACGGUAACAGCCCGGUAGUUGAAAUGGCUUUCCCUCCAGAGUGGAUCCUGAGUACGGCGGAACACGUGAAAUUCCGUCGGAAUCCGGGAGGACCAUCUCCCAAGGCUAAAUACUCCCUAGUGACCGAUAGUGAACCAGUACCGUGAGGGAAAGGUGAAAAGCACCCCGGAAGGGGAGUGAAACAGUUCCUGAAACCGUGUGCCUACAAGUAGUUAGAGCCCGUUAAUGGGUGAUAGCGUGCCUUUUGUAGAAUGAACCGGCGAGUUACGAUUUGUUGCAAGGUUAAGCGGAAAAAGCGGAGCCGUAGCGAAAGCGAGUCUGAAUAGGGCGCAUAAGUAACAGGUCGUAGACCCGAAACCAGGUGAUCUACCCAUGUCCAGGAUGAAGGUAAGGUAAUACUUACUGGAGGUCCGAACCCACGCACGUUGAAAAGUGCGGGGAUGAGGUGUGGGUAGCGGAGAAAUUCCAAUCGAACUUGGAGAUAGCUGGUUCUCUCCGAAAUAGCUUUAGGGCUAGCCUCGAGGUAAAGAGUCAUGGAGGUAGAGCACUGUUUGGACUAGGGGCCCUUCUCGGGUUACCGAAUUCAGAUAAACUCCGAAUGCCAUGUACUUAUACUCGGGAGUCAGACUGCGAGUGAUAAGAUCCGUAGUCGAAAGGGAAACAGCCCAGACCACCAGUUAAGGUCCCCAAAUAUAUGUUAAGUGGAAAAGGAUGUGGGGUUGCUUAGACAACCAGGAUGUUGGCUUAGAAGCAGCCACCAUUGAAAGAGUGCGUAAUAGCUCACUGGUCGAGUGACCCCGCGCCGAAAAUGUACCGGGGCUAAACAUAUUACCGAAACUGUGGAUGAACCUCUUUAGAGGUUCGUGGUAGGAGAGCGUUCUAAGGGCGGUGAAGUCAGACCGGAAGGACUGGUGGAGCGCUUAGAAGUGAGAAUGCCGGUAUGAGUAGCGAAAGAAGGGUGAGAAUCCCUUCCACCGAAUAUCUAAGGUUUCCUGAGGAAGGCUCGUCCGCUCAGGGUUAGUCGGGACCUAAGCCGAGGCCGAUAGGCGUAGGCGAUGGACAACAGGUAGAGAUUCCUGUACCAGUGCUAAUUGUUUAACCGAUGGGGUGACACAGAAGGAUAGGGAAUCGCACGAAUGGAAAUGUGCGUCCAAGCAGUGAGUGUGAGAAGUAGGCAAAUCCGCUUCUCGCGAAGCAUGAGCUGUGAUGGGGAAGGAAAUUAAGUACGGAAGUUCCUGAUUUCACGCUGUCAAGAAAAGCCUCUAGGAAGAGUAGUACUGCCCGUACCGC